UACGAUUAGGAAUAAAAUAUGUUAUCGAAACGUUAUAACACAUAGUACGUGUAAUGAGAUUUAGAAAAUCAAGAAAAUAUUUUACAUUUAAGGAAUGAAAAAACAAAAAACCCAAACUACAACGCAUAACAUAACACGCCACGGGACGAAUUAUUUAUAUCGAGUCAGAUUUCAAAUAUUUACUCUACACACAAAUAUGUAAAUGCAUUACGACCUAUUGCUAUGUAACACAAUAUAUCUUGUGUUAUAUACACGAUGCGACGGCCUACGCAAAUUACGCCCGCGCGCGCGUGCAUAUUAUUGUCUUUGCGGAGCGCUUAGAAAAAAAAACCUAUAACAAUAUACCUAUGUGUCUACCUACCGCACCCUUCUUGGUCCGGUUUGUGUAAAAAUGCGCUGCAGCGAUUUAGCACCGCUCGGUGACCGAUGAAUCGCGGCGCGUGUAUACGGAACGAUUCAAAAGUCUGCCCGAUGAUCAAGGCUAGCCGGCAUUAACGAAUUAAAAAUUAAAAUUAAGUUAAAAC